rfam:Erinaceus europaeus unplaced genomic scaffold scaffold00353, whole genome shotgun sequence
CUAAAGGUUUUUAUCAAAACCACAAAUUGAGGAAGAAUAUUCUGA